GCAAUUUUUACCGGAUUAGGGACCUAUAUGGAUUUGAUACUGUCACUAAGUAAUGGAAAAAUCUUGAUCUUGUAGGCCAGAGUGGAGAUGUUGGAUUUGGAUAAGAUGGAGGAGUGGAGGAUGUAUGUGGAUGAAAGGAUGAGGAUAUUUCAGAUGGAAGAGAGGAACUGGUUAAACGAGUCCAACAGAAAAAAGAUUGAGAUCAAAAUCAAAGACUUCCAACUGGAUUGGACACAGCAGGAAAAGAGAAGGAUGGAGUCCAAUAAGGGAGGACGGACAAAUUAGAUGAAAGACAAGGAGAAGAUGUGGAGUUAUGGAGCAGAGAGAAUGCGAGAGGAGGAGGUGUGGAAGCGACAGAUGAGAGAGGAGUUGAGAAAGGAGUCGGCAGGAAAUCAGACAAGGAUGGAGGAGAGAGAAAGCAAAAUAGAGGAGUUGAUGACGCCGAAGACAUUAGUUAUUUACGUUGACAAACAGGUAACUGACAAAAUAAAGGAAACACUUGAGUAAAUGAGGAUAUAAAGUAUUUUGAAAGCAGGUGCUUCCACACAGGUGUGGUUCCUGAUUUAAUUAAGCAAUUAAAAGAUCCCAUCAUGCUUAAGGUCAUGUAUAAAAAUGCCCAGUUGCCCGUUAUUUUUGCCACCAUGGCUAGUAGAAGAAAUUACAUUGACUUUGAAAGAUGGGUCUCAAAGGAGCAUAGGGGGUUUAAAUGGUGUGUGUGUGUGUGUGUGUGUGUGUGUGUGUGUGUGUGUGUGUGUGUGUGUGUGUGUGUGUGUGUGUGUGUGUGUGUGUGUGUGUGUGUGUGUGUGUGUGUCUUAGUCACAAGAUCUCAAGCCAAUUAAACACUUAUGGGAGAUUCUGGAACGGCGCCUGAGACAGCGUUUUCCACCACCAUCAACAAAACACUAAAUUAGGGAAUUUCUCACAGAAUAAUGGUGUUGCAACCCUCCAAUAGCGUUUCAGACUCUAUGCCAAGGUGCAUUUAAGCUGUUCUGGCAGCUUGAGGUGGCACUCUGCCCUAUUAAAACACUUUAUUUUGGUGUUUAUUUUAUUUUGGCAGUUACCUGUACAUUUAAUAUACUGCUCAAAAAAAUAAAGGUAACACUAAAAUAACACAUCCUAGAUCUGAAUGAAUGAAAUAAUCUUAUUAAAUACUUCUUUCUUUACAUAGUUGAAUGUGCUGAC
rnacentral:lncRNA from 1 species